AGAGUUUGAUCCUGGCUCAGAACGAACGCUGGCGGCAGGCCUAAUACAUGCAAGUCGAACGGAUGUAGCAAUACAUUAGUGGCGCACGGGAGAGUAACGCGUGGGAACCUUCCUUUUGGUUCGGAAUAACAUCGGGAAACUGGUGCUAAUACCGGAUAAGCCCUUCGGGGGAAAGAUUUAUCGCCGAAAGAUGGGCCCGCGUUGGAUUAGCUAGUUGGUGAGGUAACGGCUCACCAAGGCUACGAUCCAUAGCUGGUCUGAGAGGAUGAUCAGCCUCACUGGGACUGAGACACGGCCCAGACUCCUACGGGAGGCAGCAGUAGGGAAUAUUGGACAAUGGGGGAAACCCUGAUCCAGCCAUGCCGCGUGUGUGAUGAAGGCCUUCGGGUUGUAAAGCACUUUCGCACGUGACGAUGAUGACGGUAACGUGAGAAGAAGCCCCGGCUAACUUCGUGCCAGCAGCCGCGGUAAUACGAAGGGGGCAAGCGUUGUUCGGAAUUACUGGGCGUAAAGGGCGCGUAGCGGUGCUCUAAGUCAGGCGUGAAAGCCCUGGGCUCAACCCGGGAACUGCGCUUGAUACUGGGGCGCUUGAAUCCAGGAGAGGUUGGUGGAAUUCCCAGUGUAGAGGUGAAAUUCGUAGAGAUUGGGAAGAACACCGGUGGCGAAGGCGGCCAACUGGACUGGUAUUGACGCUGAGGCGCGAAAGCGUGGGGAGCAAACAGGAUUAGAUACCCUAGUAGUCC
rnacentral:rRNA from 1 species